UACGGAGGGUGCAAGCGUUAUCCGGAAUUAUUGGGCGUAAAGGGUGCGUAGGUGGCUUGACAAGUUAUCAGUGGCAAAUCGAGGCCCAACCUCGUGGAAACUGGUAAUACUGUCCGGCUUGAGUACAGGAGAGGUUAACGGAACUCUAUGUGGAGCGGUAAAAUGCACAGAUAUAUAGAAGAACAUCAAUAAAAGGCGAAGGCAGUUAAACUAUUCUGUUACUGACACUGAGGCACGAAAAGCGUGGGGGAGCAAAAACGG
rnacentral:rRNA from 1 species